rnacentral:rRNA from 1 species
CCUACGGGGGGCUGCAGUGGGGAAUAUUGCACAAUGGGCGCAAGCCUGAUGCAGCCAUGCCGCGUGUGUGAAGAAGGCCUUCGGGUUGUAAAGCACUUUCAGCGGGGAGGAAGGCGUUAAGGUUAAUAACCUUGGCGAUUGACGUUACCCGCAGAAGAAGCACCGGCUAACUCCGUGCCAGCAGCCGCGGUAAUACGGAGGGUGCAAGCGUUAAUCGGAAUUACUGGGCGUAAAGCGCACGCAGGCGGUCUGUCAAGUCGGAUGUGAAAUCCCCGGGCUCAACCUGGGAACUGCAUUCGAAACUGGCAGGCUAGAGUCUUGUAGAGGGGGGUAGAAUUCCAGGUGUAGCGGUGAAAUGCGUAGAGAUCUGGAGAAAUACCGGUGGCGAAGGCGGCCCCCUGGACAAAGACUGACGCUCAGGUGCGAAAGCGUGGGGAGCAAACAGGAUUAGAUACCCGGGUAGUC